rnacentral:tRNA from 1 species
GGUGGCUCAGUGGUAGAGCGCUUGCCUCGCAUGCAUGAAGCCCUGGUUCGAUUCCUCAUGCACCA